GUGCUUGCUAUGGCAGCACAUAUACUAAAAUUGGAACGAUACAGAGAAGAUCUGCAUGGCCCCUGUGCAAGGAUGACAUGCAAAUUUGUGAAGCAUUCCAUAUUAUU
ensembl:snRNA U6 U6 spliceosomal RNA